rnacentral:tRNA from 1 species
GCGCUCGUCGUAGCUCACGCUGAUGAGAGUACCUGGCUACGAACCAGGCGGUCAGAGGUUCGAAUCCUCUCGAGCGCGCCA